rnacentral:RNase_P_RNA from 2 species
CGAGCCGGGCGGGCGGCCGCGUGGAGUCCCUUCGGGGGCUUCCCGAGGAACGUCCGGGCUCCAAAGGGCAGGGUGGUGGCUAACGGCCACCCGGGGUGACCCGCGGGACAGUGCCACAGAAAGCAGACCGCCGGGGACCGCAAGGCCCUCGGUAAGGGUGAAACGGUGGUGUAAGAGACCACCAGUGCCCAGGGUGACCUGGGCAGCUAGGUAAACCCCACCCGGAGCAAGGUCAAGAGGGAGCACCCCGGUGCUCCUGCGCGGACGUUCGAGGGCUGCCCGCCCGAGUCCGCGGGUAGACCGCACGAGGCCGGCGGCAACGCCGGUCCUAGAUGGAUGGCCGUCGCCGGGGGCUCCGCGAGGAACCCCCGGAACAGAACCCGGCGUACAGCCCGACUCGUCUG